rnacentral:rRNA from 1 species
GAUGAACGCUGGCGGCGUGCCUAAUACAUGCAAGUCGUGCGGCAACGAGUUUUGCACCUAGUCUUCUGACCCACGGGUAGAAGACUGUGUGCAGAAUGUCGGCGAGCGGCGGACGGCAGAGUAACGCGUAGGAAUGUACCCCAAAGUGAGGGAUAACUCAUCGAAAGAUGAGCUAAUACCGCAUGUGGUCUUCGGAUUAAAGCCUUCGGGCGCUUUGGGAACAGCCUGCGUAUGAUUAGCUAGUUGGUGAGGUAAUGGCUCACCAAGGCGACGAUCAUUAGCUGGUCUGAGAGGAUGAUCAGCCUGACUGGAACUGAGACACGGUCCAGACUCCUACGGGAGGCAGCAGUAGGGAAUUUUCCACAAUGGGGGCAACCCUGAUGGAGCAACGCCGCGUGCAGGAUGAAGGUUUUCGGAUCGUAAACUGCUUUUAUUUGUGACGAUUAUGACAGUAGCAAAUGAAUAAGGGUCGGCUAACUACGUG